rnacentral:rRNA from 1 species
AUUGAACGCUGGCGGCAGGCCUAACACAUGCAAGUCGAGCGAGCGGCGGACGGGUGAGUAAUGCCUGGGAAUUGCCCAGUCGAGGGGGAUAACAGUUGGAAACGACUGCUCAUACCGCAUACGAUUGGAUUGGCAAGGUGGGAUUAGCUAGUUGGUGAAGUAAUGCCUCACCAAGGCGACGAUCCCUAGCUGGUCUGAGAGGAUGAUCAGCCACACUGGAACUGAUACACUGUCCAGACUCCUACGGGAGGCAGCAGGGGGGAAGAUUGCACAAUGAGGGAAACCCUGAUGCAGCCAUGCUGAGGGAGGGAAGAAAGCCUUCGGGUUGUAAAGCACUUUCAGCGAGGAGGCGUUACUCGCAGAAGAAGCACCGGCUAACUCCGUGCUAGCAGCCGCGGUAAUAC